CCUUCGGGGGGCAGCAGUGGGGAAUAUUGGGCAAUGGAGGCAACUCUGACCCAGCAACGCCGCGUGAAUGAUGAAGGUCUUCGGAUUGUAAAGUUCUGUGAUUGGGGAUGAACACAAUGACGGUACCCCAAUAGCAAGCCACGGCUAACUACGUGCCAGCACCCGCUGUAAUACGGAGGUGGCGAGCGUUAGCCGGAAUGACUGGGCGUAAAGGGUGCGUAGGUGGUUUAGUAAGUUGGCGGUGUAAUUCCGGGGCUCAACCUCGGCGCUACCGCCAAGACUAGUAGACUAGAGUGCAGGGAGGGUAAGUGGAAUUCGUAGUGUAGCGGUGGAAUGCGUAGAUAUUAGGAGGAACAUCAGGGGCGAAGGCGACUUACUGGACUGUAACUGACACUGAGGCACGAAAGCGUGGGGAGCGAACAGGAUUAGAUACCCUUGUAGUC
rnacentral:rRNA from 1 species